rnacentral:rRNA from 1 species
UACAGAGGUCUCAAGCGUUGUUCGGAUUCAUUGGGCGUAAAGGGUGCGUAGGCGGCGCGGUAAGUCGGGUGUGAAAUCUCGGAGCUUAACUCCGAAACUGCAUUCGAUACUGCCGUGCUUGAGGACUGGAGAGGAGACUGGAAUUUACGGUGUAGCGGUGAAAUGCGUAGAUAUCGUAAGGAAGACCAGUGGCGAAGGCGGCUACCUGGCCUGAUACUGACACUGAAGCACGAAAGCGUGGGGAGCAAACAGG